AUACGGAGGGUGCAAGCGUUACUCGGAAUCACUGGGCGUAAAGCGCGCGCAGGCGGCCAUUUAAGUUGGAUGUGAAAGCCUACGGCUCAACCGUAGAACUGCAUCCAAAACUAUUUGGCUAGAGGGUGGGAGAGGAAGAUGGAAUUAGUUGUGUAGGGGUAAAAUCCGUAGAGAUAACUAGGAAUACCAAAAGCGAAGGCAAUCUUCUGGAACACUACUGACGCUGAGGCGCGAAAGCGUGGGGAGCAAACAGGAUUAGAAACCCCUGUAGUCC
rnacentral:rRNA from 1 species